CCUGAUGUUAGCGGCGGACGGGUGAGUAACACGUGGGUAACCUGCCUGUAAGACUGGGAUAACUCCGGGAAACCGGGGCUAAUACCGGAUGCUUGUUUGAACCGCAUGGUUCAAACAUAAAAGGUGGCUUCGGCUACCACUUACAGAUGGACCCGCGGCGCAUUAGCUAGUUGGUGAGGUAACGGCUCACCAAGGCAACGAUGCGUAGCCGACCUGAGAGGGUGAUCGGCCACACUGGGACUGAGACACGGCCCAGACUCCUACGGGAGGCAGCAGUAGGGAAUCUUCCGCAAUGGACGAAAGUCUGACGGAGCAACGCCGCGUGAGUGAUGAAGGUUUUCGGAUCGUAAAGCUCUGUUGUUAGGGAAGAACAAGUACCGUUCGAAUAGGGCGGUACCUUGACGGUACCUAACCAGAAAGCCACGGCUAACUACGUGCCAGCAGCCGCGGUAAUACGUAGGUGGCAAGCGUUGUCCGGAAUUAUUGGGCGUAAAGGGCUCGCAGGCGGUUUCUUAAGUCUGAUGUGAAAGCCCCCGGCUCAACCGGGGAGGGUCAUUGGAAACUGGGGAACUUGAGUGCAGAAGAGGAGAGUGGAAUUCCACGUGUAGCGGUGAAAUGCGUAGAGAUGUGGAGGAACACCAGUGGCGAAGGCGACUCUCUGGUCUGUAACUGACGCUGAGGAGCGAAAGCGUGGGGAGCGAACAGGAUUAGAUACCCUGGUAGUCCACGCCGUAUACGAUGAGUGCUAAGUGUUAGGGGGUUUCCGCCCCCUUAGUGCUGCAGCUAACGCAUUAAGCACUCCGCCUGGGGAGUACGGUCGCAAGACUGAAACUCAAAGGAAUUGACGGGGGCCCG
rnacentral:rRNA from 1 species